rnacentral:rRNA from 1 species
AUUGAACGCUGGCGGAAUGCUUUACACAUGCAAGUCGAACGGUAGAGGGGCAACCCUUGAGAGUGGCGAACGGGUGAGUAAUGUAUCGGAACAUGCCCAGUCGUGGGGGAUAACGUAGCGAAAGUUACGCUAAUACCGCAUACGAUCUAUGGAUGAAAGCGGGGGAUCGCAAGACCUCGCGCGAUUGGAGUGGCCGAUAUCAGAUUAGGUAGUUGGUGGGGUAAAGGCCUACCAAGCCGACGAUCUGUAGCUGGUCUGAGAGGACGACCAGACACACUGGGACUGAGACACGGCCCAGACUCCUACGCGAGGCAGCAGUGGGGCAUUUUGGACAAUGGGCGAAAGCCUGAUCCAGCCAUUCCGCGUGCAGGAAGAAGGCCUUCGGGUUGUAAACUGCUUUUGUACGGAACGAAACGCGCUGUGCUAAUACCACGGCGUAAUGACGGUACCGUAAGAAUAAGCACCGGCUAACUACGUGCCAGCCGCCGCAGUAA